ACGGGUGAGUAACGCGUGGGAAUCUACCCAUCUCUACGGAAUAACGCAUGGAAACGUGUGCUAAUACCGUAUACGUCCUUCGGGAGAAAGAUUUAUCGGAGAUGGAUGAGCCCGCGUUGGAUUAGCUAGUUGGUGGGGUAAAGGCCUACCAAGGCGACGAUCCAUAGCUGGUCUGAGAGGAUGAUCAGCCACACUGGGACUGAGACACGGCCCAGACUCCUACGGGAGGCAGCAGUGGGGAAUAUUAGACAAUGGGCGCAAGCCUGAUCCAGCCAUGCCGCGUGAGUGAUGAAGGCCCUAGGGUUGUAAAGCUCUUUCACCGGUGAAGAUAAUGACGGUAACCGGAGAAGAAGCCCCGGCUAACUUCGUGCCAGCAGCCGCGGUAAUACGAAGGGGGCUAGCGUUGUUCGGAUUUACUGGGCGUAAAGCGCACGUAGGCGGACUAUUAAGUCAGGGGUGAAAUCCCGGGGCUCAACCCCGGAACUGCCUUUGAUACUGGUAGUCUUGAGUUCGAGAGAGGUGAGUGGAAUUCCGAGUGUAGAGGUGAAAUUCGUAGA
rnacentral:rRNA from 1 species